UAGACCUCUCUCCUUGAAGACAAAGUGUUGAUAUCAACUCCACCUUCAAGUCUCUCAAGCAGAACUAGAUGCUGUUUCUUCAAUGUUUCCACAUCUUCUUGUUCACAUGUGUCUAAGACACUUGCGUACUACAUUGUAAGCCAUUUUUACUAUGAAGAAGAUUGUAAGCUCAAUUACGGGCUUUACUGCGCUGAUAACGAACACAGAUAUGAGACAAGCAGACUUGAGCUCCUGCCUCGAGGAUGGUGAGCAAAGAGCCUAAGCAAAACUGAGAGGAAAUGAAACACAAAGAGGAAACAGAAAGUGACCACUCCCUGAUAUGCUGCAGAUGCAAUUGAGUAGCAGCUUCAUUCCACAUUUCUCCAACAUCUUUCAUGGUGAGGUCAAGAGCAUAUUCAAAACCAUGUGUGGCUCAGUCCAACUGGAGAGACCAAGUCAAAGAGCCUCAUUUCCAUAAGGCACAGAGUUAAGAAGUGGCAAGUUAACACAGCCAGAGCAUGCACAGAAGAAAACUUCGACCUCAAAUAACACCUAGAACCAAAGUCCCUACCGCAGAACUAAAAGAUUGGGAUGUGGCUGGAACUCAAGCACCUAAACACUUUCAAAAGGCUUUGCCUUCCAGUGUCUACUUGGCCUUCCAGUGUCAGACAGCUUCUUGCACCUGACCCACUCAGCUGAGGACACAGAUGUCAAAAAAAAAAUCAUAAAUACAGAAUUCCAGAAAAUUUUACCAA
ensembl:lncRNA VAV3-AS1 VAV3 antisense RNA 1